AGGAGGGAGGGGGCUGGAGGACCGGAGGCUGACACUGGGGACCACCAGAGGUGGAGGCUUGCAGCACCGGACCAGAGGGUAGCCAUCACCAGGAGCUGAUGGAGGGCCUGCCUGGUGGAGGAGCUGAUGGAGGGCCUGCCUGGUGGAGGAGCUGGUGGAGGGCCUGCCUGGUGGAGGAGCUGGUGGAGGAGCUGAUGGAGGGCCUGCCUGGUGGAGGAGCUGGUGGAGGAGCUGACGGAGGCCCUGCCUGGUGAGGAGCUGCCGAGUGACACUGAAGUGAUCGUCACUCUGUGUCACCUCCAGUAGGACCAGGACUCUGUGGGUGAGGAGAGCUG
ensembl:lncRNA